rnacentral:tRNA from 1 species
GAGGGUAGAGUUCAGUGGUAGAGCACGUGCUUAGCAUGCACAAGCUCCUGGGCUCAAUCCCCAGUACAUCCA